UUCAAAUUUUUAUCUGCAAGAGACUUUUAAGUACAGCUGGUAUUUACCCGACAGAAUCAGGAGUUCGAUGAUCUCUGCAUCUCCCAGAAACGCAGCCACAUGAAGCGGGGUUCGCUUCUCAGAAUCCUGAAACAAUGGCAAAGAUAAAUGACAAGUUAGCAGAGGCUGGAAGUGCCUUUUGUAGACAUAGUACGACGUUUCACUCACUCUAAGGUUCCUGUUUGUGGGAGAGCGUGAAGGCCAAAACCUACUCAGAGAUUCAAGAUCUUUGCAAUGACGACUCGCCUUUGGAGCCCUGAGUGCCAUGUCAGAAGUUCAACUGCCCUGUCGGUGCCCAGCUGUGAAGAAGGGCCUGCACCCCGUGGAGAGGCCAUGUGUAGGUGCUCAGGCUGACAGCCAGCAUCACCUGCCUGACACGAGAGUGAAGACAUCUCCAGAUGAUUCCAGCCAUCAUCUGUCAAGGCCCCCCAGCUGACAAGUCUUUCCAGCUGAGCCCAGACAUCCCAGAACACAGGGAAGCUAUCCUGCUGUGCCCUGUCUUAAUUUCUAACCCACAAAAUCCAUGAGCAUAAUAAAAUGGUUGUUUUCACCAGUAAA